rnacentral:rRNA from 1 species
AUUGAACGCUGGCGGCAGGCCUAACACAUGCAAGUCGAGCGGAUGAAGGGAGCUUGCUCCUGGAUUCAGCGGCGGACGGGUGAGUAAUGCCUAGGAAUCUGCCUGGUAGUGGGGGAUAACGCCCGGAAACGGGCGCUAAUACCGCAUACGUCCUGAGGGAGAAAGUGGGGGAUCUUCGGACCUCACGCUAUCAGAUGAGCCUAGGUCGGAUUAGCUAGUUGGUGGGGUAAAGGCCUACCAAGGCGACGAUCCGUAACUGGUCUGAGAGGAUGAUCAGUCACACUGGAACUGAGACACGGUCCAGACUCCUACGGGAGGCAGCAGUGGGGAAUAUUGGACAAAGGGCGAAAGCCUGAUCCAGCCAUGUCGCGUGUGUGAAGAAGGUCUUCGGAUUGUAAAGCACUUUAAGUUGGGAGGAAGGGCAGUAAGUUAAUACCUUGCUGUUUUGACGUUACCAACAGAAUAAGCACCGGCUAACUUCGUG